rnacentral:rRNA from 1 species
CCGAGAAUAUUCGACAAUGGGCGAAAGCCUGAUCGAGCGAUACCGCGUGGUGGAUGAAGCGAUUCGUCGCGUAAACACCUUUUAUGAGGGAAGAAGUUAUUGACAUUACCUCAUGAAUAAGGGGCUCCUAACUCUGUGCCAGCAGGAGCGGUAAUACAGAGGCCCCGAGCAUUACCCGGAAUUAUUGGGCGUAAAGGGUGCGUAGGUGGUCAUAUUAGUCGUUUGUUAAAAACCAGGGCUCAACCCUGGGAAUGCGGGCGAAACGGUAUGACUAGAGAGCGUGAGAGGUCCGUGGAACUCUAGGUGUAGGGGUGAAAUCCGUUGAUAUCUAGGGGAACACCGAAAGCGAAGGCAGCGGACUGGCGCGUUUCUGACACUCAAGCACGAAAGCGUGGGUAGCGAACGGGAUUAGAUACCCCGGUAGUCCACGCCCUAAACGAUGAUCACUGGCUUUCCGGAGUAUCGACCCUCUGGGAGGCGAAGCUAACGCGUUAAGUGAUCCGCCUGGGUAGUACGGCCGCAAGGCUA